AUUGAACGCUGGCGGCAGGCCUAACCCAUGCAAGUCGAACGAGUGGCGGACGGGUGAGUAAUUUCUGGGAAACUGCCUGAUGGAGGGGGAUAACUACUGGAAACGGUAGCUAAUACCGCAUACCAUCAGAUGUGCCCAGGUGGGAUUAGCUAGUUGGUGGGGUAACGGCGUACCAAGGCGACGAUCCCUAGCUGGUCUGAGAGGAUGACCAGCCACACGGGAACAGAGGCACGGUCCAGACUCCUACGGGAGGCAGGAGUGGGGAAUAUUGCACAAUGGGCGAAAGCCUGAUGGAGCCAUGCCGCGUGUAUGAAGAAGGCCUUCGGGUUGUAAAGUACUUUCAGUGGGGAGGCGUUACCCGCAGAAGAAGCGCCGGCUAACUCCGUGCCAGCAGCCGCGGUAAUAC
rnacentral:rRNA from 1 species